ensembl:lncRNA
UCUCCCAUCUCAGGCACGCCAGGCCUCCCCUCUCCUAGGCCCGCCUUGCACGCCUCAGUUCCCUCUCUGCUUCCACACACACGUCUCUCCCAGACACCGUCACAUGUAAUAAUCACUUUUUUCAAAUACAGCACAGGUCAUUUCUUUACUUUUGGGAAAUAAUACCACAGCACUUUCAGAGUUACAGUCAGGCCUUUAUUUCAUUCUCCGGGCUCCUUGUCCUCCCAUGUUCUUCAGCUCAUUCCUGGCGCAGACAGCAUUUCUUUAUCCCAAACCAACAGGAACCAAGACGUUCAUGAUCUUCUGGGCAAGCAAACCAUUUACACUGGGCACCAACCCGCUCGCACUCCUCUUCUGAGUCUAUGCGCUGGGUGGAGGCUGUGGAGAGGAAAAAUCUUUCGGUCACUAAGUAGGGAGUAAUAUUCCCUGUGAAUGUGGGGACAUGACACGGGCCCUGAGGAGCUGGCAGGAGAGGCUCCUUCUGCAGGCGCCUCCCUCAGAAACCCUACGGAGCCCCCGCUCCUUCUGCUCUGCUGCCACUGCUGCGUUCGUUCCUGGCGGGCAGGACAGCCUCUGCUCUAAAGAGGGCAGGUACCGAAGUGUCUGCCCUGAAUGCUGACUCAAGGCUCCCCUGCCUGCGCCCCAGUGUUCAGCCCCUGCUCAAGAUACUCCAGGGGACUCUGUGCAGCCUCACGCAGCCUGAUGAGAACCACCUCACACUGCACAGUCCCAGCACGCUCUGGGCACAAAAGGACAGGAGAGAUUGGGCCAGAGGAACUGGGCAGAAAGAGCAGACCGGGGUCAGGGGCCUUCCGCCCUGCUGCCCUCUGUGCUGCAUCCAGGCCUCAGCUGUGGCAGGGGUGUGGGCCUGUCACCGUGGGCCAUCUAGUCAGAGACCACACACAGUAAAAGGGCAGGGAUCACAGAGGGGGAACACACCUGGCAUGUCUCUGCUGCUCCGCGAGGACCCUCCUAAGCUCUCCCUUGUUUGUCCUCAAUUAGACUCUGUACGACUCUGGGGUUUGUCCUCCUUUUCAGGAGAAGACAAGGUUGAGUUUGAGGACAGCUCAGAGACUUGUCUAAGUGCACACUGUGAGUCAGCAUCGGAGCUGAGAAAAACACACUGGUGUUUUGGCUCCUGGCUCCAGCUCUCUCCUUUAUCCUGGGCUCUCUCCCAGGCAGGGAAGUCGCACAGCAAAUGAGCCCUGGGGAUGACACCUCAUUAUCCCCAUGGCCUCUUCCAAGGCCUGAAAGCCUGGCCUGGCCCCGUGGUGUUGUCUCUACCUACUCACUGGGUUCAUCUUCCAGGGAAAUGACCCCAAACUUAGCCUGAGAGUUACUGAGGGCCAUGUUUCAGUCCAUUAAGAGCAUGCUAAGAAUCUCCCAUGAGACAUUCAUUCUUUGGUUGAUACUCUCCUUGAUGCUCAGAUUUAUUACUUAUUUCCAGACCCUGAGCCACUCCACUUAUAUGGCCUGUGUCCCAUUCCCUGGGCAUGAGAACCCCAUGCCCCACAUCAGCCUGGCUUCAGAGCUCACCUGGGCCAAAGUGAGGAAAGAGGAUGAAGCAGGUCAGGAGCACGAAGCAGAGGCCCCGCAUGGUGAAUGCAGGUUGGACCGUGGGCUGCAGGAGAAGAGGAGGAGCUGCUCUGAGACUGGGACCAGCGAGGGUGCUGCGAGUGGGGGGAACGGCUGUUUAUAUGGUUCCUA